AUCGAACGCUGUCGGCAGGCCUAACACAUGCAAGUCGAGCGAGCGGCGGACGGGUGAGUACUGUAUGGGGACUGCCCGAUAUAGGGGGAUAACUACUGGAAACGUUGGCUAAUACCGCAUACUGUCUGAUUACCCAUAUGGCAUUAGCUAGUAGGUAAGGUAAUGGCUUACCUAGGCGACGCUCCCUAGCUGGUCUGAGAGGAUGAUCAGCCACACUGGGACUGAGACACGGCCCAGACUCCUACGGAGGCAGCAGUGGGGAAUAUUGCGCAAUGGGCGCAAGCCUGAUGCAGCCAUGCCGCGUGUAUGAAGAAGGCCCUAGGGUUGUAAAGUACUUUCAGUCGGGAGGCGUUACCGACAGAAGAAGCACCGGCUAACUCCGUGCCAGCCGCCGCGGUAAUAC
rnacentral:rRNA from 1 species